UGGUGCUAAAUCUGAUCUGAUCUCACUGUCAUUGUUUUGUUUCCUCCCAUAAGCUCAGUAUGUCCCCACGCCACAAGUAAUACGUAGCAAGUGAGAGGUGUCUACUGUUGCAAGAAAUACUCUAUUGUAACCUACCAGCGCAAAAGCUUCGAGGCUACAAAUUGCUUAUUAGUUUUAUUAGAAAUCAUCACAGUUGGCCUUACUCGUACCAGUCUAUUCAUAAGGUCAGGAGCAUCCCGUCGAUCUGUAUCCGCCUGAUCUGCAAAAUACGCAGGAAGCCGAUGAAUAAUGCCC